AGCCCUGUGGUGAAGUACAUGUUGGAUUGCAAAUCCAAAGACGUAGAUUAAUAGUCUACCGGGGCUU
rnacentral:tRNA from 1 species